rnacentral:rRNA from 1 species
GAAUUCACUAGUGAUUCAGGCCUAACACAUGCAAGUCGAGCGGUAGAGAGAAGCUUGCUUCUCUUGAGAACGGCGGACGGGUGAGUAAUGCCUAGGAAUCUGCCUGGUAGUGGGGGAUAACGUUCGGAAACGGACGCUAAUACCGCAUACGUCCUACGGGAGAAAGCAGGGGACCUUCGGGCCUUGCGCUAUCAGAUGAGCCUAGGUCGGAUUAGCUAGUUGGUGAGGUAAUGGCUCACCAAGGCGACGAUCCGUAACUGGUCUGAGAGGAUGAUCAGUCACACUGGA